CCCUCAUCACUCCGCAGUCUGCCCCCCAGCCCACUGAUAGCAACCAUCAUAAUGCCCCACCCAGCUUCCGGCACCUUUCGCUACUCCGGCACAAACCGACACAGCUUUGCGAUCUCGCCAGCAUGCAGAGUCUGAUGUCUUCCCUAUAGAUGGUAUGCUUUUAAAAAAGCUUUAAAGCUGCAUCACAAUGUCAUUGUACUCUUAUCUAAAAAAAACCCCCCAAUUUAUACUCCUGAAUGUCAUCUUGUUGUGAUUUUUUUUUUCUGUAGAUUCCAGAGACUCUGUGAGGCCACUAUUACAAGGCAAGUUUGAAAAUCUUGGAAUUUCACAGUUUACAUGGUAUAACAAAUAUAUGUGACAGGCAAAAACUAGUAAACACUUUUAGCAGUUACAAGAACUAACAAAUGAAUAUCCAACAAAAGGGAAUAGAAAUACAUUGUACUGCCAAUACUUUGGUUUAUUCUUUGUAUGACUUGAAAAUCAGGCUUUAGGGAAAACUAAAUGACAUGUUUCUAUCAUCAAUUACAUGAAGUAAACACACAAGCACUUGCAUACACAUUUAAGACAUGAGACACGCUAAUUCCAUCUCAUAAAAUGUGUCUAUAGGUGAGACGCUUUGCGUUGAUUGGUGCUGCUGGACCACACUGGAGGUGCGAGUCCGCCGUGUAAUGGUUUAUGCCAUUACAAACGAGCUGGCCUCUGUACUCAACUGGGCAGGGGAAAAAAACCAAGGACCAGACAAAGCAAAAAAGGGCAUUUAAAGAGACAGCGCUGUGCAGAUGCAUAUUUGAUGGCCUGGCGCAGCAGGUAGGGGCGAACUCUAUGUCUGAGUUGGUCUUUGCUCAAGCAGUCCAGAAAUGGCUCAGAUAUGCUCCAGAUCGUACGGGUGGCGCGCAGGACGCACAUCAUCCAUCCCCAUCCCGGAGUAAAUAAUAAAAAGUGACGUGAAACAUAGAAAUGUAAAUAGGAAACUUUGUCUUUUAAUAAAGUAUUUUGCAAAUGAUAAAUGUCUAUUGACCUUUUUUGUUUUUUUUCAAUAAAAAGCAACUGUGCGAAAGAGGUGGAAAAUCAAUACCAUAGCUCAACAGUGUUUCAAUAUCAGAAUCUGACAUUGUUUCAAUGUCAACAGUGUUAGAAAAUCUAACGUCGAAUCAAUGUCAGGUUUCAACAUUGAUUCAACAUCAAAACCUGACGUUGUUUCAACGUUAAAAAUGGGUGCAAGAGUGAUGUUGGGUCAACGUCACACUUCAACGUUGCUUCAAUGACGUCGCCUGAUAUUGACUCAACAUUGUUUCAAUGUUUCCUUGCUAUCUGGGUAGUGUUAAAAUACCCAUUUAAUGUCAUAAUUGCAGUGUCAUUGGGGGUAGUAGUGUUCUUCUUCUAUCCCAGUCAGCUGUUAUAACUGCACAGUUACAGUGUUAUUAAUGCAGUA
rnacentral:lncRNA from 1 species